rnacentral:lncRNA from 1 species
GUUUCAUCCCAUCCCAUCCUGGGCAUGUUGGGAGCAGUGACAGAGCUCUGCACCUGCUCUACACCUUGUCUGUGAUCCUGCAGAGACUGUUGGCUUCCUGCGUGGCUCAGGGACUCUGUCUGUGGAAGGGGGCUCACCCUGAGCUCCCUCUGGGCCUUGCCUUGUGGGGCUGACAUUGGAAUUACUCACGCUCACGGCUGCGGAGUCCUGUGCCGCGUGGAGGGCUGAGAGCAGCUGAGCCCUCACCUGGGCAGCCGGGUGUGCAGGGUCUCGUGGUGGGAACAGUGUGCGGAUCUGGGGGCCCCCGGCUGGAGGUGCUCCUCAGAGUCACUGUCAGGUUAGGUGGCUUUCUGGCUGUUGGCCCUACCCACAGGAAGCCCCACCCAAUUGCUGGGUGAACUUGAGGUUGCC